GGCUAAUGCGCAAACAGACCUGGCAUCCUUGGUUCUCAUACUUACACUUUUUAAUCAUGGCGUCAACUUGCACUUCAGCUUCGGGAAAAGUUAAUUCUAAUACGAGCGCGGUGCAACUCGUCAUCGUUUUUUACGAUUGCCUGGAAACGAUCAUCGUGGGGAACAUAUCUCUCCCUCACUUCAACUAGUUUUCGGAUUUGAAUUUCUUGCUGUAUGUACACUAGAAACACCUGCCACGAAUACCCAUUCUUCAUCUGAAUUACUGUUGGCGGAAUAAAAAAAGUUCGGUAUUGCCUCAUCCGUCCAACGAUAGUGGUACACUUGAUCGUUUUAAUGUGCAUUAACCAGUGACAUACCCUCAACUCGGCUGACGAAUAAUUGUUUCGGCAUAUAACAUGUUUUACUUCGGAAUCCAUAAACGAAAACAAGUGUCCACCGAAACAAUCUUGCAGUUGUACAUCAUAACAGUUUGGGUAUAGUUUACCUAGACCGUUUCACUGGUUUUGGAUCGCAUCACAGAGACGGAUCAUAGUCGAUGAUGAAUAUUUCGUACUUUUUAUCAUGUUUGCAUAGACAUAGUACUUUCGCUUGAUUCUUGUGGUGAUCCUAUACGGGCUAUGUCAAAUAAAGCGGACUAUCUAUUGUCAUCCAGUGCACCAGAGGUUUUCCUUCCGGCUGAAUUUGAUUCCCAAGGAUUUAUUCUAAGUAGGUUUAAGCUUGGUCGAUUUGAGUUGCUAUGAACUGAACUGGCGGAACCGUGCAAUUUCAACAGGCCGACCCGAGUUCGAUUGGAAGCAUCACGAUUUGGAUACGGAUGACGGUGGUUACCAGCGGUGCUCUGACGAGAUGUCUUUUCCAUGGGGUUGGUAAUUAUUACCACAUUGUGGUGGUGGUUAUAGGUUGUGUGAUACCAUUUCCACAAGUUCGUGAUUUUAUAACUAUUUCCACAAGUUCGUUCGGCAACCAAUCGCUGUGAUCGUCUGUGAUUGGCGCUUUGGACGUUGCAAACGAAUCAGGAUGGUGCACUCUAAUUCGACUAUUCAAGAAUUUUAAAGGUAUAGUAGGAGCAUGAGGUUGUACUGUUUUAGAAUGUUGCUGUUAAGAGAUCGUUAAUAAACUAUGUUUUAAAAGCUAUAUAGGAAAUUGUAACAUGCGGGAGCAAGCGAAUAUAUUGUCUAACAUUUUAAGGGAUAGAUAGCGGCGUUUUCAGGAAGCAGUAGGCAUCGCUUAAACUUCAAUUAUGUAUGUUGGUUGUAUGUUGGUAUUUCUUUUGAAAAUGUUAAAUCAUCGAAGCUAAAAUGUUUAAAUAAAAUGCAACCUCCAAUUAA